rnacentral:rRNA from 1 species
UACGGAGGAGGCAAGCGUUAUCCGGAAUUAUUGGGCGUAAAGCGUCCGCAGGUGGCACUUCAAGUCUGUCGUCAAAGACUGGGGCUUAACCCUGGAAAGGCGGUGGAAACUGAAGCGCUAGAGUGCGGUAGGGGUAGAGGGAAUUCCCGGUGUAGCGGUGAAAUGCGUAGAGAUCAGGAAGAACAUCGGUGGCGAAGGCGGCAUCCUGGACCGGCAUUGACGCUGAGGAGCGAAAGCCAGGGGAGCAAACGGG